GACGAACGCUGGCGGCGUGCCUAAUACAUGCAAGUAGAACGCACAGUUUAUACCGUAGCUUGCUACACCAUAGACUGUGAGUUGCGAACGGGUGAGUAACGCGUAGGUAACCUGCCUGGUAGCGGGGGAUAACUAUUGGAAACGAUAGCUAAUACCGCAUAAUAUUAAUUAUUGCAUGAUAAUUAAUUGAAAGGUGCAAUUGCACCACUACCAGAUGGACCUGCGUUGUAUUAGCUAGUAGGUGAGGUAACGGCUCACCUAGGCGACGAUACAUAGCCGACCUGAGAGGGUGAUCGGCCACACUGGGACUGAGACACGGCCCAGACUCCUACGGGAGGCAGCAGUAGGGAAUCUUCGGCAAUAGACGAAAGUCUGACCGAGCAACGCCGCGUGAGUGAAGAAGGUUUUCGGAUCGUAAAGCUCUGUUGUAAGAGAAGAACGGGUGUGAGAGUGGAAAGUUCACACUGUGACGGUAGCUUACCAGAAAGGGACGGCUAACUACGUG
rnacentral:rRNA from 1 species